rnacentral:ncRNA from 1 species
CAAAGAUUUGGUCCUAACCUUACUGUUACUUUUUGCUAAAUUUACACAUGCAAGUAUCAGCAUACCAGUGAAAAUACCCCAACAAUCUAACCAGACAAAAGGAGUUGGUAUCAGGCACACCAUGAUAGCCCAAAACACCUAGCCCCUGCCACACCCCCAAGGGUACCUCAGCAGUGAUAAAAAUUAAGCAAUAAGCACAAGCUUGACUUAGUUAUAGCAAACAGAGUUGGUCAAUCUCGUGCCAGCCACCGCGGUUAUACAAGAAACCCAAACUAACAGAAAACCGGCGUAAAAUGUGACUAAAAUUAUAAUCUUAAAAAUUUAAGGAGAACCCAAUACUUAACUGUCAUACGCAAAAGUAUAUAUUAGCCCACUAUGAAAAUAACCUUAAUGCAGCAGAACCAGUUGAACUCACGAUCGCUAAGACACAAACUGGGAUUAGAUACCCCACUAUGCUUAGCCCUAAACCCAGAUAUUUCAACACACAAAAAUAUCCGCCAGAGAACUACGAGCUAGACGCUUAAAACUCUAAGGACUUGGCGGUACCUCAAACCCUCCUAGAGGAGCCUGUUCUAUAAUCGAUAAUCCACGAUCUACCCGACCACCUCUUGCCAAUACCGCCUAUAUACCACCGUCACCAGCUUACCCUAUGAAGGACAUAAAAGUAAGCAAAAUAGCCAACAGCUAACAAGUCAGGUCAAGGUGUAGCUAACUGAGAUGGAAGAAAUGGGCUACAUUUUCUACACUAGAAAUUAAACCACGGAAAGGAACUAUGAAACAAGUCCCAUAAGCAGGAUUUAGCAGUAAACUGGGAUCAGAAUACCCAAUUUAAGCCGGUCCUGAGGUGCGCACACACCGCCCGUCACCCUCCUCAAACAGCCUACCACAACCCCUAAAUAAAUCACAAUAAUACAAAUAGAUGAGGCAAGUCGUAACAAGGUAAGUACACCGGAAGGUGUACUUGGAACAUU